AACCGCUCCCCCUGCGACGGGCACGCCUGGAGACCACCCUGCAGGUGGCGGUUCCGCGCGUGCCUGACACCCGGAGAAGUUGAGGGAGGGGCGAGGACGCGGCGGCUGCCGGGACCCCACUAGAGGGUGGUCGGGGUCCGCCAGGGGACCACUCUUCUGAGACAGCAUCCACCAUCCUUGGUCUCCAUCGUUAACAGAAACAGAAUGAGGGAAAAGACCAACCAGCUACCUUUGCAGCUCCCGCUCUGUGACGAUGCCCAGCAGAACUGGGACAGUGAAAGGAGCAGCAGAAGGAUGGAUCACAGCAAAUGUGCGUGGAGUCAGAGGAGCUCAUUAGAUGGGAGAGGUCUACUGUCUUCAAGUAUGAAGACUGGCCGGUGGGGCCGCUGUGGGAAGUGCGUCACUGAGAUAAGGUCUAAUUAUGUUCCACAGACUCUACUUCAGGAAUCUGGAAAAUAAAGACACAAAUGAACUUACUUACAAAAUAAAAACAGACCCACAAACAUAGAAAACAAACUUAU